rnacentral:rRNA from 1 species
GUAUCUAUGGCUAAUACAUGCGCAUGAUACUAAAAACCUCUCUCUCUUUUUGGGGGUGUUGUGAUAUAGUAGUGUUUAUUAGAUACAGAACCAACACAUCAUUAUUACCAUAUUUUAUGGUGGUGGUGAUGUAAAAUAAGGUGAUUCAUAGUAACCGAACGGAUCGCAUUAUAAUUAUCAUUAUUUGAUGAUUGGCGAUAGAUCAUUCAAGUUUCUGACCUAUCAGCUUUCGACGGUAGUGUAUUGGACUACCGUGGCAGUGACGGGUAACGGGGAAUUAGGGUUCGAUUCCGGAGAGGGAGCCUGAGAAACGGCUACCACAUCUAAGGAAGGCAGCAGGCGCGCAAAUUACCCAAUCCUGACUCAGGGAGGUAGUGACAAGAAAUAACAACACUGGAAAUUUGAUUUCUAGUGAUUGGAAUGAUGGGAAUCCAAACCCCUUUCAGAGUAACAAUUGGAGGGCAAGUCUGGUGCCAGCAGCCGCGGUAAUUCCAGCUCCAAUAGCGUAUAUUAAAGUUGUUGCAGUUAAAAAGCUCGUAGUUGGAUGUCUGUUGGAAGCAAUCAUCAGUCCGCCCUAUUUGAUUAGGGUGUGAAUAUGAUGAAUUCCGGCAUAAUUGUCUCCCUAUUGUUAAUAUUCUGAUUGUUAGAUUCAUUUCUAACAAUAAUACGAUUAUUAAUAAUAAGGGGGAAAUGUUACUUUGAGAAAAUUAGAGUGUUUGAAGCAGGCUUUUGUUGCCUUGAAUACCGCAGCAUGGAAUAACAAUAUAGGAUUUCGGUUCUAUUUUGUUGGUUCUUUUUUUAGGACUGAAAUAAUGAUUAAUAGGGACAGUUGGGGGCAUUCGUA